AAAAAAAAGGAAGUGACCACUUUUCUUGCACAGACUAAAAAACCCAGGCUGGCAUUUUUAGGUUGGGAAACCACUGAAUCGGUCAAGUCUGACAGUCAAGUGAGUUAAAAAACAAAGUAUGGAGCAUGAAUUUCCCUAUACCAUCUGCUGUGCUAAUUAACAGUCCUGCCUCAGUUCACCAUGCUGGUCCAAAAAGUGCAUUGCUCUCCAGUUGAGCUAGACGGAGCCCUUUGGCCAGAAGUCAAUGUAUUUUGGAUGAGAUAGAUUUUCUGACAAGGUGUGUUUGUUUUCUUAUGCCAGAAGGCAGAGAAGUCAAUCCUAGUCAUUUUUCUCCUUGGAUACUAAAUUCACAUAGGUCAGCUGGCUUCCUGUAGAGCCCUGAGCUUCAUCAUUUGUGACUCCAGCUUCCACGGGACUCUGAGCCUCUCACUUGUUCUCCCCUAAUAAACAAUGACCCAGACCUAACUGUGUCUUUUAAAAAUCUCAGAUCCUCCAGGAACAUCUUUAUUGCUUCCUCAUCAGUAAUUUUGCAGCAAAUUUCUAUUUUUGUUUUUCCUUGUCUGUUCUCCCAGCCACCAGUUGAUAGACAGAUGAACUGGUGGAUAAAUGUUUGGUGUGAUGGAUAGAUAGAUACAGACGACAGACAGAACCAGUACUCUGAAGCAACUUAAGAACUAUGGCCUUGAUUUCUUGAAGCUGUAGGUUCUGAUCCAGGAAACAUUUAUUUAGCACCUGCUGCCAGAAAUUUAUUAUACCAUUUCAAACUCAAUAGCAC
rnacentral:lncRNA from 1 species